rnacentral:misc_RNA from 1 species
AACGCACGAGACCUGCGGACCUGCGGAGGGAUCAUUAUCGAGUUUACAACUCCCAAACCAUUGUGAAUCUUACCUUUUCGUUGCUUCGGCGGGAUCGCCCCGGGCGCUUCGGUGCCCCGGAUUCAGGCGCCCGCCGGGGGACCUAAACUCUUGUAUUAUAGUGGAUUUCUGAGUGGAUUACACAAAUAAUCAAAACUUUCAACAAUGGAUCUCU